rnacentral:rRNA from 1 species
UAGACGUUGAUCAUGGCUCAGACUGAGACGCUGGUCGUGACNCAGCCUAACACAUGCAAGUCGAGCGGAUGAGAGGAGCUUGCUCUUCGAUUCAGCGGCGGACGGGUGAGUAAUGCCUAGGAAUCUGCCUGGUAGUGGGGGACAACGUUUCGAAAGGAACGCUAAUACCGCAUACGUCCUACGGGAGAAAGCAGUGGGACCUUCGGGCCUUGCGCUAUCAGAUGAGCCUAGGUCGGAUUAGCUAGUUGGUGAGGUAAUGGCUCACCAAGGCGACGAUCCUGUAACUGGUCUGAGAGGAUGAUCAGUCACACUGGAACUGAGACACGGUCCAGACUCCUACGGGAGGCAGCAGUGGGGAAUAUUGGACAAUGGGCGAAAGCCUGAUCCAGCCAUGCCGCGUGUGUGAAGAAGUGUCUUCGGAUUGUAAAGCACUUUAAGUUGGGAGCGAAGGGCAGUAAGUUAAUACCGUUGCAAUUUUGACGUUACCGACAGAAUAAGCACCGGGCUAACUCUGUGCCAGCAGCCGCGGGUAAUACAGAGGGGUAGCAAGCCGUUAAUCGGANAUUACUGGGGGCGGUAAAAGCGCGGCGUAANGAGGGANCUCGCAAAUUGAGNUUGAAAACCCCCCGGGGUCACACCCUUGGGAAACUCGGGUNUNCCAAAACUGGGAAGCUUANAGUUAUGGCNACAAGCGGGNGGUGGGGAAUUCCUNUGUACACGGGAAAACAUCGCUUAAAAUUGGCAAGGGACACCCCUNGUCAAGGGCACACCCUGGACUGGAGUCAGCCCGUGGUCANACNCGCGUUGCAAGCACNCACGGAUAUACCCGCUGUGAUUAANUCUNUGAUAU